rnacentral:tRNA from 1 species
CACUAGAAAGCUAAAUUAGGUCUAGCGUCAGCCUUUUAAGCUGAAGAUUGGUGACUCCUGACCACCUCUAGUGA